AUUGAACGCUGGCGGAAUGCUUUACACAUGCAAGUCGAACGGCAGCACGGGGCAACCUGGUGGCGAGUGGCGAACGGGUGAGUAACACGUAGGUAAUCUACCCUUCAGAGGAGGACAACCUCAGGAAACUGAGGCUAAACCUUCAUACGUUCACUGGUAGGGAUACUGGUGAAGAAAGAGUUACCUUAGUGGUAGCUGCUGAAGGAUGAGCCUGCGGCCCAUCAGGUAGUUGGUGAGGUAACGGCUCACCAAGCCGAAGACGGGUAACCGGUCUGAGAGGAUGUCCGGUCACACUGGGACUGAGACACGGCCCAGACUCCUACGGGAGGCAGCAGCAGGGAAUCUUGGGCAAUGGGCGAAAGCCUGACCCAGCGACGCCGCGUGGAGGAAGAAGUCCUUCGGGGCGUAAACUCCUGGACUGGGGGACGAGUAAGGACGGUACCCCAGUAGAAAGGGACGGCUAACUACGUGCCAGCAGCCGCGGUAAGAUAGCGUACU
rnacentral:rRNA from 1 species